AGAGACAGCGCCGCCGGCCGUGGGGAUCGGACGCACUGAUUUGCUCCCCUACCCUCAGCACCCCCCCCACCCAGCACCAGGUGGGUCUGAACUCCCUGGGACCAAGUCAGUUGGGCUGAUCCCUGAACUCGCAUUUCUGGAUCUGAGGCACCUGUACCUCCCACAUCCUCACCUGGCUGAGCCGCAGUAGUUCUUCAGUGGCAAGCUUUAUGUCCUGACCCAGCUAAAGCUGCCAGUUGAAGAACUGUUGCCCUCUGCCCCUGGCUUCGAGGAGGAGGAGGAAGAAGAGAAGGAGCUGCCUUCCCCUCAUCUGGAAGGUGACAGAACUGGGUCUGGGAAGGUCUGAACAGCGAGCGUGAUGAUACCUUUGGGAAAGGGAACCCUAUUCAGCUGGAGAACCUUCACCCAGAUUGAGCCAGCAGGAGAGAAAAUUUCAGAUUAGAGACCUUGGCUGAAUUGGGGAAUAGAUGGCUCUGACUACACCCAAGGUUAGUUGGUCUCUGUGUGACAAUGGGAAGAAGUGGAGCAAAGAAAACCCCGCCCACCCCUUUACCUAGAUGUCUUUCCUGACCCUCCUUCCUUCCUCGUCCCCCCUUCUUUCCUACUGGCCUUUCCAAGUUCAAAAGUAAGUUUCCUCUUCAGGGAAAAGGUCAUACUGAGACUCCCAUCUGAGUAGUCAUCCCCCUGCUCUUAAUUUUUCCCCGUAUUUCCUUAGUCUGGCCCAGACUCUAGAUUCGGGGAUACUUACCUCUAUGUGAGACCCUUAGACCUCCUGUCUCAUCUUCUCCACCUGUGAGGUGGGGAAUCACACAGUUGAGCAUGCGUGAGGGAAUCAGAAGCCCACUUGUGUGGACUCAGAGCCUGGGCUCUCCUCCACAGUGGGUGGGAACAAAACAGCUUUUCACAUAAGCUGUUGCCCUUCCCCCAUCCCUGACCAGAACCCCAGGAGCUGGCCGUGGAGGUUGGAGGGAGGGACUAGGGUUAGACCAAUGCAAGGGGCUGCUGGGAAAUCAGUUUCUGCAUUGACUUCCCACCAAUCAAAGGUGGCCCAGGCUUCCCCUGCCUCCCAAAGCAGGGCUGCAGCCCCUGAUGGGUUCCAGUUGCCACUGCUCUCUUCCCCCACUCACUUUUCCAGGAUAGUGUGUGAGAUUUAGCUCAGGCCUGUGCACGCUGGAAAUUUUCCCCUCCAGCAACCAGGAGAGAUAGGUUAUGGGAUGUAAUCCCUUUAGGGGCAUCAGGCAGAGUAAACUUGCCACCCCCGGCUCCUGAUCUAACGUCACGCUAAGGCUCAGGCUCUGGUGUGGUUCAGCCUUGGCCCAGUCUCCCUGUCUGAAGGUGACCAAGUUCAGGGGUCACAGGAAGCUGUUUGUUCCGUUUGGGGGCAGAAGUUGUGCAGGGAGCUGGGUCCUAUUCUCCAUUUAUGAGAAACAGAUUUAGGGCAGAGUAGAUCACUGAACCCACCCUUCUGCAGCCUAAGCUGGAUGUGUGUGGGACUGCGGUAGAGGGGGGUGGGUAGACUGAGUCCACUCAUAGGUUGCCACAAGGGUCGCUCUGUCCCUAGACAUUGCUUCCAUCCUUUCUUCCCCUCCUCGCUUCACUGGCCACAGUGUCUCCCUCCAGCCUUGGGUAUGUGGCUCUGCCAUCCUCACCCAUCAUGGAGCAGAAAUGAGGAAGAGCAGCCUGGGAACACAGAGGCAGGCAGAAGACUAGUGAAGGACCAGGCCUGGAGAGCACAGGGCCCUGUCUGGACAUCUGCUGAGGGGGGCCCAUAGAGGCCAGGAGAGCCCCAGGAGGAGGGAGAACGGCCAGCCUCCAUCGAGGACAAGCUUCCAGCCAUCUACUUCAUUCUCCGUUGCUCUCCAGUCGUUCUGCCUCCCUCAGAGAUGUGGGACCAUGUUAAAGCGUCCUUGGCUUCAUCCUGCUGCUUCCACCUCUCCCCACCAUGUAAUUUAGCUGUGAAAGGACAUAUGCAGAAAAUUCUUAAAAGAAAUUCAAAUGGAUUUGAAUGUGUGGGAAAAAAUGUGUGCUUCAUUAGUAAUUAAAGCGAGGCAAAUAUAGCUGAAAGCGUUUUUCCCGUAGCAAACUAU
rnacentral:lncRNA from 1 species